rnacentral:misc_RNA from 1 species
UGUGUCAGUCUUCUGCUUAUCAGCAUGGUAAAGUGUCUGGAGGCGGAUCAGGUUAUUUUGUGCAGUUGAGUUCUUGCCAAAUUCAUUUCCAGUAUUUGCCCAUUCUCCAACCCACCCAAAACCUUGAUGUGCUUUGUUUGUNAUUGUGUUUUGUUGGUAUCAGCGAGGAGGGCAAAAAGCCACUCAAGAGUCUUUUCCAUUUCAGCUUUCACCUGAGCUACUGUGAACUCUUCCUUAGGGUCAACCAUCUGUAGUUGGGAACGUAGAGCUGUCUUAAUACUGAUUGGCAACCCAUGAUACAAAUUGUCCCUUGUAUUAGGAGGAAGGGAGGUGGGACGAGAUGUAAUGGUAUCAAUCUGGUUAAUAACAUUAGCAUAGUGCAGAGCAAGACCAGCUGGACCUAGCCUUUCAGGAUUCUUUUCAGGCUCUUCACUGGCUGGGG